rnacentral:lncRNA from 10 species
GGAAAGCAUUCAGAGGAAUUGCAAUACGAAUUAUAAAUUGAAUUUAAUCACUUUUCCCCACUUAUUCAACAACAUCUAGUGGAAUCAAGAAUAAUAAAAAACUUAAUAGAGAGUUCCUGCUGUCUAGUUAAGAUUACAGAGCAAAAUAAAGAAAAGAGGCAAAAAUGGCAUGCUUUGAACAAAACUGUUUCUUCUAAAUUAUACAGUCAGACAAAUCUAUAAAAAGCAAUAAAUAGGUCAUCAAAGUCUCCUCUUUAGGAUAUAAGUUUAUUUGGAAUCCUUUUUUCUUUUCUGGAGAAUUUCGGCUACUGGCAAGGUUCCAGAUAGCAACUGUUCUAGCAGCCAGGGUCCUGGAGAGAAGUCAACAUGAAGCAGAGCCACAGAUACGCCACAGAUAAGCUUAUGUAAUGAAGAGCUUCUCGCUUGUUGCCCAGGCUGGAGUGCAAUGGUGCGAUCUCAGCUUACUAAAUCUUCCGCCUGACAUGUUCAAGCAAUUCUCCUGCCUCAGCCUCCCAAGUAGCUGGAAUUACAGGUGCCCACCACCAUGUCCAGCUAAUUUUUUUUUUUUUUUUUUUUUUGUAUUUUUAGUAGAGACGGGUUUUCACCAUGUUGGCCAGCCCGGUCUUGAACUCCGUCAGCCUCCCAAAGUGCUAGGAUUAACAGGCGUGAGCCGGCACGCCCGGCCUCCCCGCUGAAUCCUUUCUUCAUUUUAUCAUAAUCCUUCUAAAUACACUUUCGGGAACUUUAAAAGAUGCCUACCACCAUUUGUCUCUCAUGAAGAUGUGAACUGCGACUGGAAACAGCUCAGUCUCUCACAGAUUGUAAAACUCAGAAGUAUAAUAUCCUUGGCACUAAGAUAGGAUCUCGCUGAUGCCCUGGAUACUGCCACAAGGGAUUCGCGUGGGCUGGAGUGCAGUAGCACCAUCACAGCUCACUGCAGCUGCAGGAUCACAGUUCAUUGCCCCUUCAACUUCCUGGCCUCAAGCCAUCCUUCUGCCUUGGCCUCCUGAGUAGCUUGGACUACUGGUGCUAGCCACCAUGCCCAGGAGGAUGAAAUUUAACCACAUCAAAGAAACCUACAGCUCUGAUACUCUCAGAAAAAAUAAGACUCAACACAAAGAGAGUAAAAAGAGUUAUUCUGUCAACGAAGGGUCUUGACCGAAUAAUGUAUACAUCAGAUCUUUUCAUCUUGCACUUCUUGGACACUGUGAUUCAAAAGGGAGAUUAUUUGUGUCAGUAAAGAAGUAUCCAUAAUGAUAAAACACAAGUACUUCAAAGAACAACCUGUGCUUCUCAAAAGGAAAAUAGUUUGGAUCCAUUUACUUUUCUCCUCUACUUCACAUUCUAAAUGACUGAGAAAAUGUCUUCUCGUUUUCAAUACAACCCAUGGGAAAUCAUACUCAAAUAAGUAGUAACUGAAUGAACUAAUCUGGAAAAGUGGUCCUCAAUUUGUUUCUGUAAUAUCAGCUAUCACAAUACUGCCUUGAUAUUUCAUACAAUUCUGCAGAGUAUAAAAAAGCAAAAGCCUCUAAAAGUUGGUACUAGAAUGUACUACACGCUCAAUAUAGACCACAAAAUGGAUCAGACAUGAAGCUUAGUAUUGUCUGUGUGCACAGUGUUUAAAUAUUCCCUUGUUUUAAAAGUGCCAGUGUUUGUUAAGUAACUUAAAAUAUUUGCCACAUGUAGCUUAUUUUUUUUACUUUUUAUUAUAUUUUUGUCAUAGGUAAAAAAGUGAAAAGAUUUAUGACAGUCAUUUUUUUAAAACUAAGUUAAGCUAUAUAAAUUGUUGUGAAAUAAAAUACAUUUUAAUUAUAUACAAUAAAGAUCCUAAUUUUAAUUUGCAAGUAUUUUCAAGAUUACAAGUAACGUUAUCAAUUGUUUUACUUAUAACAAUAUUCCUAGGGUGUCUACAUUUAAUAAUUCUAAGUUUUUAAAACAAUUUUAAACUAUUUCAUUUAACAGACAAUACAAACUAACUAAGAUAAAUUGAGAAAUAUAAAUAUCCCUCACCUGUGUUUUUAAAAUUAGAGACAACUUUUGUAUCAUUCCAGAUAUAAUUUAUACCUAUAUAAAUGUGUUUAUUUUAAAUGUGCCAUUUAAAAGAACUGGUUUAUGCUUUGAAAUGGCUGCAUAAUAUUCUACUCUACCUAGAUACCAUUAAAUAUUGAAUCAGCUCUCUAUUGUGUGUUUUUUGCUGUUGUUACUGACAGAUUUUGUAAUUACAAUGCAGAUUAAAAACUUGUUUUAAAAAAUGUGAUUUUGCUCAUAGACAUAUGUCUUUAGAAUACAUUCGUCAUAGUACAAUUGCUGAGACAAAGAGUUUACGCAUUUGGAAAUUUUAUAAAUAUUAUCACAUUGCUUUCUAUCAAUAUCAUCUCACAAGUAUAAUGACAAGUGAAAGAUACUAGGUAUGAACAUUUAUGUAGUAUUCAAAAGCAGAUAAGUUUAUUACCCUGUCAGAAGAUAGCAAAAUGAUUAACUUUAUGAAGGUUUCAAGCACUUAGUUUGAGGGAAGGCAGGAUAGGCAGUUUCAUGAGAAAGGUAUGUCCCAUCUCUUGAUCAGGGUGAAGUUUAAAUGGAGUUGUUUCCUUGAUGAUGCAUCAAAGUCACCACUUGAAAUUUGAUUACUUUUUAAUAUAUGCUAUACUUCAAAAUGUUUAUUAACAUGCAAAUCAUAUAAUGAAUUCCAUUAAUUUAGUGAGAGAAAUUUUUUUUAUAUGCUUCGAAGUCAUUUGUUUUGUUGUUUGCGUUUACUCAGAACAGUGUGUCAAUCUCCUUGACUGAUAUUUCUAUUGUUUCUAGCAGGUCAUUUAAUAGUUUAUAAUGUUUAUAUUUUCAAAGUUUAUUGGGGUGUAAUUUAUUUAUAAUACUGUACAUAUUUAAAGUUCAAAAUAAGUUAAGCCUUAACAUGUAUAUACAGCCAUGAACACAUAACCAUAAAGUAGGUCCUAAAUAUAUUCACCACUCACAAAUGUUUCCUUGUGAACCUUUGUCAUUCCACCCGCCCUUACUUCUUCCGCAUAAUCUCCAUCUAUAGCAACUACCAAUCUAUUUUCUGUUAUUAUAAAUUAAUGUGCAUUUUCUGGAAUUUUAUAUAAAUGGAAUCAUAUCAUAUGUACUUUGUUUUGUCUUGUUUUUUCAGUAAAAUUAUUUUGAGAUUCAUACAUGUUGUUACAUGUAUCAAUAGUUCAUUACUUUUUAUUGUUGAGUAGUAUUUCAUCAUAUGGAUAUGCCACAAUGUGUUCACACCUUAACAUAAAUUUGUCAAUGUAGUUUCCAGUCAUUGGUUAUUAAAUAUAAAGUUUCUUGAAAACUGAUCUAUAAGUAUUGAUAUGGAAUGUGAUUUCUUUUCUCUUGGGUAAAUUCCUGGAAGAAAAUUGGUUCUAUCAAAUGGUGUUUGCAUGUUUAACAGUUAUAGCCAAACCAUUUUCCAAAGUGGUUGUAAUAUUUUACAUUCCUCACAGCAGUGUAUGAGAAAUCAAAUUGUUCCAAAAGUUUGCUAAGACUUGUACAUUUAGAUGUAUCACCAAUUUUGGGUAAAUUUUUGUACUAAUUGUGAGUUGCAAUUGAGGUUCACUUUUUUAUAUGGAUACUCCUUUUUUUACACAAUACAUGUUGAAAGCAUCACCUUGUAUUAAUUGAACUGCCUUUGCAUCUUAUUAAAAUCAGUUUCAAUAUAUGUGAGGUUCUAUUUCUGAACUCUAUUCUCUGUUACAUUGAUUUAUGUGAACACUUUUUCACUGAAGCCACACUAUUUUGAGAACUGUAGUCUUGAAAUUGAGUAUUGGUAAUCCUCUAAAUGUGUUUGUUUUUAUAAAAAUUGUUUUGGCUAUUUAGAUCACUUUGCCAUUCAAAUAAAAUUUAAAAUCUGCUUGUUGAUAGCUACAGAAAAGUUACUGGCAUUUUAACUAGGAAUACAUUAAACUUAUAGAUAAGAUUGAGGAGAAUUGCCAUUUUAUUCUUCCAAUUAAUGGCUAUAUUACAUG